rnacentral:rRNA from 1 species
GACGAACGCUGGCGGCGUGCUUAACACAUGCAAGUCGAACGGUAAGGCCCUUCGGGGUACACGAGUGGCGAACGGGUGAGUAACACGUGGGUGAUCUGCCCUGCACUUCGGGAUAAGCCUGGGAAACUGGGUCUAAUACCGGAUAGGACUCCGGACUGCAUGGUCUGGGGUGGAAAGCUUUUGCGGUGUGGGAUGGGCCCGCGGCCUAUCAGCUUGUUGGUGGGGUGAUGGCCUACCAAGGCGACGACGGGUAGCCGGCCUGAGAGGGUGACCGGACACACUGGGACUGGGAUACGGCCCAGACUCAUACGGGAGGCAGCAGUGGGGAAUAUUGCACAAUGGGCGAAAGCCUGAUGCAGCGACGCCGCGUGAGGGAUGACGGCCUUCGGGUUGUAAACCUCUUUCAGCAUCGACGAAGCGAAAGUGACGGUAGGUGCAGAAGAAGGACCGGCCAACUACGUGCCAGCCGCCGCCGUAA